rnacentral:rRNA from 1 species
UGGGUGAGUAACACGUGGGGAACCUGCCCCAUAGUCUGGGAUACCACUUGGAAACAGGUGCUAAUACCGGAUAAGAAAGCGGAUCGCAUGAUCAGCUUUUAAAAGGCGGCGUAAGUUGUCGCUAUGGGAUGGCCCCGCGGUGCAUUAGCUAGUUGGUAAGGUAAAGGCUUACUAAGGCGAUUAUUCAUAGCCGAGUUGAGAGACUGAUCGGCCACAUUGGGACUGAGACACGGCCCAAACUCCUACGGGAGGCAGCAGGU